AAAACUUUCAACAACGGAUCUCUUGGUUCUCGCAUCGAUGAAGAACGCAGCGAAAUGCGAUAAGUAGUGUGAAUUGCAGAAUUCAGUGAAUCAUCGAAUCUUUGAACGCACAUUGCGCCUCCUGGUAUUCCGGGAGGCAUGCCUGUCCGAGCGUCAUU
rnacentral:rRNA from 1 species